AUUGAAAAAGGGACGGAGGGGAUCAAGUCGUUUGUGGCAUAAACGACUUGAUCCCCUCCGUCCCUUUUUCAGG
rnacentral:ncRNA from 3 species